CAUGUCUUUUUGUUUAUAAUUUAAGGUCUGAUCUGCUCAAUGAUUAAUUAAAUUGCCGCAGUAUUUUGACUGUGCAAAGGUAGCAUAAUAAUUAGCUUUUUAAUUAGAAGCUGGAAUGAAAGAUUGGACGAGAAAAUUACUGUCUCUUUUUAAUUUUUAUUGAAUUUUAUUUUUAAGUCAAAAAGCUUAAAUUUUUAUAAAAGACGAGAAGACCCUAUAGAGUUUAAUAUUUAUUUUUUAUUAAUUAUUAGUAUUUUAUUUAAAAUUUAAGUAUUUAAUUGGGGUGAUUUGGAGAUUAAGUCAAUUCUCUUUAAUUUUAGUUGAUUAUUAUUAAAUUAUUAAUUUAAAUUUUUUAAAUUAAAUAUAAAUUACCUUAGGGAUAACAGCGUUAUUUUUCUUUAAAGUUCUUAUUGAAAGAAAAUUUUGCGACCUCGAUGUUGGAUUAAAAUAAAUUUUUGGUGCAGUAACUGAAGGAUUAGGUCUGUUCGACCUUUAAUAUUUUACAUGAUCUGAGUUUAAACCGGUGUAAGCCAGGUUGGAUUCUAUCUUUAGUUUUUAUAAAACAUUUUAGUACGAAAGGACCAAUUGUUUGUUAUAGUUAAUUA
rnacentral:rRNA from 2 species